rnacentral:tRNA from 1 species
GCAUGGUUGGUUUAGUGGCAUAAUUACCGCCUGCCAACUUGUUGACCGCGGUAGACCCGGGUUCGAUUCCCGGACCAUGCA